AGUGGCGGACGGGUGAGUAACGCGUGAGGAACCUGCCUUUCAGAGGGGGACAACAGUUGGAAACGACUGCUAAUACCGCAUAACACAUGGGUGUCGCAUGGCAUCGAUGUCAAAGAUUUAUCGCUGAAAGAUGGCCUCGCGUCUGAUUAGCUAGUUGGUGAGGUAACGGCCCACCAAGGCGACGAUCAGUAGCCGGACUGAGAGGUUGACCGGCCACAUUGGGACUGAGAUACGGCCCAGACUCCUACGGGAGGCAGCAGUGGGGAAUAUUGGGCAAUGGGCGCAAGCCUGACCCAGCAACGCCGCGUGAAGGAAGAAGGCUUUCGGGUUGUAAACUUCUUUUGUCAGGGACGAGUAGAAGACGGUACCUAACAAGAAAGCACCGGCUAACUACGUGCCAGCAGCCGCGGUAAAACGUAGGGUGCAAGCGUUGUCCGGAAUUACUGGGUGUAAAGGGAGCGCAGGCGGGAAGACAAGUUGGAAGUGAAAACCAUGGGCUCAACCCAUGAAUUGCUUUCAAAACUGUUUUUCUUGAGUAGUGCAGAGGUAGAUGGAAUUCCCGGUGUAGCGGUGGAAUGCGUAGAUAUCGGGAGGAACACCAGUGGCGAAGGCGGUCUACUGGGCACCAACUGACGCUGAGGCUCGAAAGCAUGGGUAGCAAACAGGAUUAGAUACCCUGGUAGUCCAUGCCGUAAACGAUGAUUACUAGGUGUUGGGGGAUUGACCCCCUCAGUGCCGCAGUUAACACAAUAAGUAAUCCACCUGGGGAGUACGACCGCAAGGUUGAAACUCAAAGGAAUUGACGGGGGCCCGCACAAGCAGUGGAGUAUGUGGUUUAAUUCGAAGCAACGCGAAGAACCUUACCAGGUCUUGACAUCCGAUGCAUAGCACAGAGAUGUGUGAAAUCCUUCGGGACAUCGAGACAGGUGGUGCAUGGUUGUCGUCAGCUCGUGUCGUGAGAUGUUGGGUUAAGUCCCGCAACGAGCGCAACCCUUAUUGCCAGUUACUACGUUAAGAGGACUCUGGCGAGACUGCCGUUGACAAAACGGAGGAAGGUGGGGAUGACGUCAAAUCAUCAUGCCCUUUAUGACCUGGGCUACACACGUACUACAAUGGCGUUAAACAAAGAGAAGCAAGACCGCGAGGUGGAGCAAAACUCAAAAACAACGUCUCAGUUCAGAUUGCAGGCUGCAACUCGCCUGCAUGAAGUCGGAAUUGCUAGUAAUCGCGGAUCAGCAUGCCGCGGUGAAUACGUUCCCGGGCCUUGCACACACCGCCCGUCA
rnacentral:rRNA from 1 species